rnacentral:rRNA from 1 species
UUUUUGGAGAGUUUGAUCCUGGCUCAGGACGAACGCUGGCGGCGUGCCUAAUACAUGCAAGUCGAGCGGGUCUCUUCGGAGGCUAGCGGCGGACGGGUGAGUAACACGUAGGCAACCUGCCCGUAAGACC